UUCUGAAGAUACAAUUUAAGAAUUUGCAGUCUAGUUUUGGUUUUAAUCUGGUAUUCGUACCGAGGCGUCGGGGCUUAACUGUGGCUGUGUGGGGUGAUAAAAUGUGUGGUAAUGGACGUUGGUGCGUGGGUUAAAGUGUGUAAGUGGUGGCUAUUUUAUAUGGUGUAUUGCAUUGGAGGCUGUAAGGGUUGGAGUAGUGGCUAUGUAUGAGAGGUGGAAAUAGGCUAGCAGUGAGAUGUUAGGGGAGAACUGUGUGUUUGACCUUCGGAGGAAGGUGAUAAUUACAUGUUGGUAACUUCUUGAGAUAACAUAUUAUUAAAUCUUGUGGAAUGUAAUGUGAGCUUGUAGACAAUAAUGGAAUUACAAGGCCGGUGAUAGGAAUAAAAUAUGAAGGCGUGCAGAUACGGUAUAAAGGAAAGAAAUAGAUGGCAAAUAGGAGAUAGAUAGUGGUUAUAUAAGUAUAGGACAGUUGGCUCCUUGAGUACGGGGUGUUAUAUUGUGUCGUGUAAAGAGAGAUUGUGUAACGAUGCGCGCUCUAAGAUAGUGGCUGAUAAGCGAUGAGUUUAUGCGAUGGCCUAUAUUGAGCGAAAAUAUUACGCGGAGGCACAGGCAGCAGAAACGGCAGGAAUACGAAGAAUCGAGAGAAGUGAAUGGCAUGUACCUGGCGGGCUGAUAAGAGGAGAUACACAAACACACAGAAAUAAAACAAUAGUGUGAGGGAUAUCAUAAGAGCUCUUAGGAAUAAAUGUGCCACCACACUAAUUCUAGCCACGAUUUAUCGUCAGGGAGCAAGAUCGAUGGCUAGUCAGACGCGGUUAGGGAGGUAAAAACUGAUGGGUGCCGAGGGUAGGAGACACAAGGACUAGGGCGGAAUAGGAAAAGGCUGAAGGGGAAACAGGAGAUAUUACCGCGUCUGAGAUACCGGUAAAAGGACCCCUCCCAGCCAGCCUAACGUUACAAACUUGGGUCUCACCAAUCCAACAGCUUCAGAUCCCAGCAGUCUAGAUCAGGGGCCUGGCGACUAAGUUGAAGGGCUUCUUAACCAGCCUAAAGAGCUUGGGAACCGAGAAGGGCCUGGCAGAGUAGGAGAGCCUGGUUACCAAGUUGAAGGCCUUCAUCCUGAAGAGCUUGGUAACCGAGUAGGGCCUGGUAUCGUAGGAGAGCCUGGCUACCAAGACCCAACAAGGCCGCAACAAUUUGUAAUAUUUGUGAACCAACCUCAAGUCGUUCCCCCUCCCCCUCCAGGCGUACAAAAGCCAGGCAGUCUCCUUGUCUGUGCUAUUUUCGCCUGUCUGUGUUGUGCAUGGCCUUGCGGUGCCGUGGCCAUCUUUACAGAUGUGCAGAUGACAUAUUGUCCUCAAGCCAUUUUUUUACCUCCCACGGUCUGUAGAAUGUUGGCCCGAUCCCUCCGGCGUACUGUACUAUCCCGCUCUGAAUGAUGUAGAGACGUGUCGGCACUGCCCCAUAGGCUUCGUUAGCUGCAUUCUCCAUGGUAUCCACUAAGAGCGGAGUGCGCAGUGUUUUGGUGCCAAGAAGUUUCUUUGCAGCAUCACAUCGCUCCAUCAACGACUUGUGCUGUCUGAUAGUUUCAUUGUUCUAUGAGAAAAGGUUAUAAUGAUGAGACUAUCGACACCUGUACCCAUAUUGUGUGAUUGCGUGAUAGACAUGCUAUCGCGCUGUGGUAUUUACAAAAAGCGCAACGGCAUGCGAGCUUUUGCGCGAUGCUCAGUUAAAUAGUCACUGCACCCACGCAAAAUGCUGUCUAGCAAUCAAGACAGCGCCUACUAUAACCAUCACGCACACAUGAAUUGCGAUUAUCCUCUCAGCCAAGUACGCAUUAAAGGCUAGUAUCUACCUCGCGAGGGUCUAAGCUUUGCCAAAAAUGUCGUAUGCAUACCUUAAGAAACCACUCGUCCGUUGGAUGUGCUUCCUUUACGUACACCGUCACAAACUUCGCAGUUGCUUUAAAGCUCUCUACAAGCUCGCCAAACUCGCCCAAACGAGCUCUGAACACUGGACAAGUGUAACUUCCAAAGUUGACCACCAGAGGCAUUCCGUCUUGCGCAAAGUCCAGUAAACGGAAGCUCACGCUGCCAUCUACUGAAAAGAGCUCAGGGUUUGGAGCCUCGAGGCCGCAGAUAGCUGGCUUAUUCAGCUCGGUCCAGAUCAUUCGCUGGUGCGUCUUCAGCAUCUCCAAACCAAACAGCCCGUCGCAGUACAUCUCCCGCGGGAGCUCAAUCGUGGACGCUGCCUUAAAAAAGCGCGCUAUGAUUCCCUCCGAGUACGGAAGUAAAUGCAGUAAUUUAAAAAAAACAAAUGCAAACGCCAUAGCUGCACUGCUUAGGUAGAAUAGUAACAAGACUUUGAGGUGCUCGAUUGUCAUUUUUGCUGCGUAACAACUUUUGCAGGAGAUGCGUCUAGCUCCGAGGCCUAACCAAUUAUGCUCUCCACGGCCCUUGAGUGCGAUCUUAUGACUUGGGAAAAUAUUCUAGUAAUUUGUAUUCCGUGCACUAGCUAGGAUAACUGACCUUUGUUGCACUCCGCCAAAAACCCCGAGAGCCACAAGCGCAUUGGACGAGAACUCAAAAUAAGUAAACAAAUCGCGCUAAAGAAAGACACUGUGUUUUCGCGCAUUCUGUGUUGUUUUUUUCUGUUCGCUCAUGUUUGUUGCUCGUUGGGCUAUUGUAGGCGCAGAACGCAGCGCAUUUGGCUCUGGCUGCGGGGCCCGGCAGGUUCACUCCAUCGCCUUUGAGUCGUGUUUGCCGCCAUUGUGGAGCGGCAUGCAGUGUGUUGACCUUUGGUAAGCCAUGCCUCGCGCACAAGCUCCUUUAUGCACGCAACGCUUAGCCCUUAAACGCCCAACAAGCGCAUUGAUAUUGCCUCUGUCAGGUAGAUACUUGGCAUGGCAACAUACCUAAUUAAAUAUAAGGUCAUUGCAGCGUCGAGAGGACAAAGCGUAUAUCUUUAAAAAAAACGCGCUCAAGUCAGACAAACCAUCAUUGUCAUAACAGAACUCCUAGCAAAUAGACUUUAAAAUUCCAUGCUUAUUGUAAACACCAAGCCAUGCUCGCGCCAGAUAAACUUUAGUAAAGGGACAAUUAUAGGCUAGUCCCUCUCCCUUUUAUGUAGUCUUCCAAGAGAUUGCCAAGAUUUGAUAAAGCCUGUGUCAUACACGAACUGUGCUCCAGUAGCGCGGCUCACGCGAUUGCUCGCUAAUACUCUUAACACUUAGCUCUGUUAAAGAGAAACUUCCGGUUAUAACACUCAACAGUAACGACUAGGCGGAGAGUGUAAUCACUCUCGUACGUCCGGAAGUACUUAAUUACCCCUAUCAACAAGAUAGUUUCCGGUUCGUUUUGUGAGCAAAGUAAACUUGAUGUAACAAUGAUACAGUAGACAAGUGAUUUCUAGAUAACGUUAUUAUUGACCCCUACUGAGAAAGUCCUAUCGAUUCGCUCGAAGCGCGACGCACUUGAUUACUAAUGUAAGUAUUAAAUUUGCUAUCUAUAAAAUGAUGAUGCAAGUACAACGCUCAAUUACAAGUAAAUAGACACUGCACAU